rnacentral:rRNA from 1 species
UACGUAGGGGGCUAGCGUUAUCCGGAUUUACUGGGGCGUAAAGGGUCCCGUAGGUGGUUUCUUAAGUCAGAGGUGAAAGGCUACGGCUCAACCGUAGUAAGCCUUUGAAACUGGGAAACUUGAGUGCAGGAGAGGAGAGUGGAAUUCCUAGUGUAGCGGUGAAAUGCGUAGAUAUUAGGAGGAACACCAGUUGCGAAGGCGGCUCUCUGGACUGUAACUGACACUGAGGCACGAAAGCGUGGGGAGCAAACAGGAUUAGAUACCCCCGUAGUCCCUGAGCGGGCUGG